rnacentral:rRNA from 1 species
AAGAGCUCGUAGGCGGUGUGUCACGUCGGCCGUGAAAACCUGCAGCUUAACUGUGGGCGUGCGGUCGAUACGGGCAUCACUGGAGUUCGGCAGGGGAGACUGGAAUUCCUGGUGUAGCGGUGAAAUGCGCAGAUAUCAGGAGGAACACCGGUGGCGAAGGCGGGUCUCUGGGCCGAUACUGACGCUGAGGAGCGAAAGCGUGGGGAGCGAACAGGAUUAGAUACCCGAGU